rnacentral:tRNA from 1 species
GGGCCGUUAGCUCAGCGGUAGAGCAUCCGGCUUUUAACCGGUUGGUCGCAGGUUCGACCCCUGCACGGCCCACCA